rnacentral:lncRNA from 1 species
UGGGCUACUCUUCUCUCCUCGAUGGCUCAGGCUGCGGUAGGGCCCUUGGUCGAUCCUCUCUACCCUCAGACCGGCGUCGAAUGAACCUGUCGAGCCAACCUUGUUGGAUGAGCUCCUCAUCUCAUCUCGAAGCUGAAUGCAUUCCUCCAUGUCGUGGUCGUGGUCACGAUGGUAGAGACAGAACUUAUUACGAUUGCGCUUCCCGAGGUGCGUGCGCAUCCUUUCUGGCCUCAGGAGCUGCUCUCUGACUUCCAUCAGCACCUGGGUUUUCGAUGCGUUGAGGGGGGCAUAGCUGUGGAAUCUUCCUGGGGGAGAGCCC